rnacentral:lncRNA from 1 species
AAGGCUAUUAAAAGUUGAAGUUAGAGUAUUGAAAAGCGACUGGAAGAAUAAAAAGAGAGGGAGAAGUGCGUGAAGAAAGGGGAAAACAGAAUUCCAAAAGGUCAAUCAGGUAAACCAAUCGACAAUCAGGCGAGUAACUCUUGACAUCUUCAAAAAAUAUUUAUAUGGCUAUUAAUUUUUCCACUGGUUGUCCCUCAAGAUACUGUUUUUCUAAAGUUGAUCGAUCAAAUCUCAAUUUUUAUUUUUGGAGAGUUGAGAGGUCCACCAACCCAAAAGGUUAAACUUCAUGGGUCCUACGACUAAAAAGCACAUCGAUAUUAUCUUUUAAGUAGAAGAAAAUGAGAUUGAAAUCAUACAUGGUUAUAUAGGCUUUGAAGAUUUGACAAUAUGAUACCACAUGUUUGGGGAGGUAACUGUGAUCCAGGAUCUUAUUAACUUCUUACACUACGGAUCUUAAAUUAAAAUAGAAGAGAAGGUUGAAAAAUGGGGCAAAAAAGAAAAAAGAAAGAAAGAAAGAAAGAAGUGAGAUUAAUGAAUGAGAAGAUGUGAUCAGAAACAGUUGGGGAAUGGAUAUUUCAAAGUUGUUGAGAAUUAUUUAUGAACAGAGCAUUAAACAUAUUAGAAGGGAUUGAUAAAUAACACUAACCCCACACUCUUAAUUCAUCUUCUUCCUUUCUUCCUUCUUCUUUAAUUUCUUCAUAAUAAUUAAAAGUACAACUUGUAUUCCAAAGCCGCCAUUAAUCACCGUCUUUUUCAUUUUUAGAUACUAAACACUUCCCUAAUUAAUUCCAUUUAUCGUUUUUAUUUCUUAACUUCAAAUUUGUACUUGUUUUUGGGCCCCUGACCGACAUGCUAUGUUUCAUGGGGAAAAGAAUAUAUGAUUAUUACAAUUGAAUCGAACUUUGCUUAAGUUGCCUUAUUAUUACUAUAAGGUUAAUCCAAUACUAGAUUGAUCUUUUUUUAAUAUAUUUUUAUCAACUUUGUAUGCUAUAGUGAAAAUGCUAUCACCUUUUGAACUCAUUAUAUAUUGUGAAUCUCAAAAGUAUGUACAAGUUUAUGCACCAUAUGUUUGCCCAAUUUACUCUUUUUAAAAGAAACAUGCAUGAGAUUCAAAAUCUAACUUUUUUUUUUUCCUUUGGUAAAUUAAUUAGGUACAUAUUUUAUGUAAACUAAGAUUUAUUUUUAUGAAACCAAUUGGUACAAGUACAAGUUGGUCAUACCUUUAAUAUAUAAUUGAGAAAUAGCCAAUAAUUGUACUUUAAUUUAUCAUAAAACUAAUUCAUUUUAAGGAAUAAAUAAUAUAUAGUAAAUAUUAAAGAGAGAUAGAGAUAGGGAUAGAGAGAAAUAUUCAAAUUUUAUUUGAAAAAAGAAACCAACAUAUUCUUUCAUUUUCAUUUUAUGUUGCCCCUCCAAUUUUAGAUUUAUUUCAUUCUAGUGAUUGGCCUCUUGAAGAAGUAUAUAUAUAUAUAUCUUUUAGCCCUUAGUUUGCUUCAUUUCUAAUACCAAAAGUUUCAAAAUAAAAAUAUUUAUUUUAUAUUACGCUCCACCCUUAGCUUUAUAUGAGUUAUUUAAACACAUUGAGAAUUAAUACUUCAUAUUCUUAUGUGUAUUGGACCAUGUAUAUGUAUAGACUCUAUAUGUUGAAAUGAUAUAUAUUAAUGUAGAAGAAAAUAGGGUACACCAAACUAAUUUUCAUUUUACAAAUAAAAUACGUAUUCUAAAUUUUGUUGAGACUAAAAUAAUUACUUCUUAAAAAUUAGGGGACUAAGGACUAGGAAUAGACGUUUUGAAACUUUUGAAACUAAAGCUGAGUCUCUUUCUAAGUAGAAAAUUUGGGUUUUGAUUUUAGCUUUUAAUAUUCAUUUACCUUAAACUUUUCUGCCUUAUUAUCCACGUCCCACCAAUGUUUAGCAAUAAUAAUAAUAAAACUAACUAAAUUUUGAAAGCUUCAAAAUUAAAGUAGUUUUUCUAGAACUUUAUUUAUUUAUUUAUUUAUUUUGGAAUUUUGACUUAUAUUCAAAUAAUUGAGACAAAAUUGAAUUAACUUUUAAAUCUCUUCGACUUUAUUUGGUAGCUAUUCAUUUAAUUGAUAGUUUUUUUGUUUUCUAAGUUAAAUUUAUAAACAUUCUUUUUUUCUAUUAGUUUGUAAAUUUUAUUUACCACCAUAUGUUUUAAGAGUGUUUAAAAUAAAAGUUCAAAUUUGAAAAUUAAAAUAGUUUUAUAAACUUGUUUUUGUCUUACAAAAUUGUUAAAAGAAUUGCAAUAUUUACAUAGAAGGUAUAAAAACUAUGAAUAAGAAAUUAUGAGAAAAUAAACAUGUAAAAAUUUAAAUUAUAAUUACGUAGCCACUACAAGAUUUCGUAUGAAAUGGGAGAAAUCACAUUCCAAAUAAAUAAACAAAACAAAAUAAAGAGAUUGAAAAAAUAAUAUAUAUAAAAAAAAAAAAAAAAAAGAAAAAAGAGAAAGUCAGAAAUCAUAAUUGAUGGACAAAUAUGUAUUAGGUAGAUGGCCUACCCUCAUAUUGGUUGAAAUAUUCUAAUAUGUAGGACUAAAGAAAUAAAAAGAGUAUAGUUUGGGCCAAUUUUUAUACGUCACACUUUACAAUUUAUUUACAAACACUCCUUUCCUCAUACUUUUCUUUAUAAUUUUGUUCAAAAUAAUUCUCAAUUAUAUUAUUUCAUUCUUUUUAAUAUAAUUAACUAAUUAUUCAAUUGAUUUACGUAAAAAAAUAUUUAUUUCCACCUUCUAAUUUAAUAAUGUUGCUUGGAUUCCAUGUAAAGCCAUUUGUGUUAUCGUUCUGCUUUCUUUCAUGAAAAUCCAUUAGCACUCAAACCAUUGAUCAAUCAAUAUAUAAUUCUAAUAUAUUUAGGUUAAAAAAAGAAGUCUUCAUAAAUUCAUAUAUAUAUAUAUAUAUAUUACUUUAACAAUUUAGUUGUUAAACUCCAAUAAAUAACAAAUUAACCUCUCUAUUUUACAAUUUAUAAUAAUUUAGUCAUCCACCUAAAUUAAAUAAUUAAUUAAGUAUGACUAGUUACAAUUUAGUAACGAUCACGUUUUCACUCGUGUCCAACUAAGCUAAGUCCUUGUUUGCAACACUUUUAGAGUUAGUAAUUAAGUUUAAUGUGAUGAUUCUAUUAUUGAUAGAUAGAUUUCUACAUAAGUGAUAAUGGUCUUUCACCAACAAAUUAAACUCUAAAAGUUGAAUAUCUAAAUUUUGUUAUAUAUUUACACCUUCUUUUGUAUUAUGUUAAAUUUGUUUAUAUAUAUAUUUUGGUUCAAAUUGCAAUAUUUGCAACUCCAUUCCUUUAUAACAGGACUAUAUUGAUUCAAAUUAAAUGUUAAAAGUAUAUUUACUAAAUUAUAUUGUAAUAAAAUUUUGGAAGUAGGAAAACUAAAACGAUACUAACUAAAGCUAAGUUGUAAAAGAAGUUAUUUAGAAUGAAAGUGUAGGAGCGUAUUAAGUAUUUUUAGCCUAAAGUUUUAAUGUGGUAGCAAAACUUUGAGAUUUGCCUUUAUUUUUUUGUUUGAGCAAGUAAAAAUUGAUCAGAAUAUGUAAACCUUCAACAAGUAAGUGAUAGGCUACACACUAAUUUCUAUAUUAAAAAAAAAAGUGAUGAUUGAAUUUGCACCCAUUCAUUCAUUGUAGGGCCAAACUUCAAAAUAUAUUGCUUGUCAUGGUAAAUAAUAUGGUGUAUUUCAAGAUAGUUUAAUUAUAUUAUAUAUUAAACGAACAUGUUUAUGUUUGGAGAGAGUGGAGCAUAAUGAUUUAACAUCAAGUUAAAUGUUUUGGUUUAAUAGGCUUAAAGACGAUUCUUCUCAUAAUAUACCAUAUCCAUGCAAUUUUUUAUUUGGAAUUAUUAAAAAUCUAUAUUAUUAGAAUGAUGUUUAAAAAUAUGUUUCCUUGAGGGUGGAUCUUCGCGAUCUUCAUAAUGCAUAUUUGUUAAAGAAAAACUCAAUAAUAGUCCAGGUGAGUUUAAUAAAUAUGGAAUAAUAAUGACAUUUUUAUAUGUGUUAGAAGUAGGAAAUUAAAUUUGUGAAUUAAUUGCUGCCAAAAGUCGUAUGGGAGGUAUGAAUUUAUGAUUUAUAUGUUAGUUGUUGUGGUGUGUGGACAUGCAUCUUGGUGACCAUAUAUAUUACAUAUCUUCAUAAGUUGAAGGGAAAAGUUCUGUAUCACAUUUGGUGGGAAAAAAAUGGUCAAACUUUGGUGGGUUUUGUAGCACACCCAAUUAAAAUUAGAAAAAGAAGAAGAAUCUAGUAGGAGUAUCUAUGAAGUAUAUUCUAUUGUAAUUUUUUGGUGGGUCACAAUUGGUGUAAACCAUGGGCAAUGCUAUAGUCUGUGUACAAUAUAAUUUGAAUUUCCCUAAGUUGAUUUUUAUUUUCAAAACAAAAAAAGAAAAGAAAAAGAAAUUGAUAAGUCAAUAUUUGCUGCCCAGCUUGAAGAAGAUGGAAAUAAUAAUUUAGAAUUAUAGAGAAUAUUUAAGAGAAAAAAAAAAAAAAGAAGAUGUGUGUGGGUUAAGUUGAAUAAAUUGUGGUCAAAAUAUAGGUUGAAUUUUGAAGAGGCUUGUUGUGUGUUUGUUUGUCCUCAUAAUCAAAUUCCUCUCAUGGAAGUCAGCAUUUUGUUUCCACUUCUUUGGGACCAUUAUUACCCCCCUUUUUCUUUUUCUCUUUUUUUGAUUUUCUAGAAUUUUUCUACCUUUUUCUUUUUCUUUUUCUUUUUGGCAUUGAUAGAAAAUUGUGACUUUGUCUUUUUCCCCUUUAUUUCAAUUCAUUUUGUCUUCCCAAUUCAUUUUGAAAAUAAGAAAGGUGUUUUCUACAUAUAGUUUACUAUGCUACCUACAAUUUUACACUAAGGUUUGGCUUAGUGUCAUACAUAAAUGAUAUUGGAUCAUCCUAUAUUAUCUAUGUUGCCAACUACUAAGUUUUCUUUUGUCAAACUCAAAUGCAAAUUUAACAAAAGAUUUUGGUAAGAACCAAGGUCGAGCACUAAGAGUUUUCUUCGUUUUCAACUGCGAAAGGGAAAAGUCAUGCAAUACUCUUUUUGGUACCAAGUUACAAGUAAUAUUUAGAAGAUGAAGUUGUGGAAAUAAUAUGAAAACAUAGUGAUUUUGGUAAGAUGAUAAAUACAAAUAAUAGUAGAAUGAGGUGUAGGAAAACAUGACCAUUACUUGCAACUUAUUCUUUUGCCUUUGAUUCUUGUUCACUACCAUAUUAAGAACCCACCUCUCCAUGAUAUAGACAUACUAGUAAUAUUUCUACGGUAGGUGAAUGCUAGAAAGAAGGUUGAACUUAAGUUUUCAUUUAUUUCUAAAGAAAUUUCUUAACUUGUUUAAUGAGAGAUUAAAGAGAUUCCACUUUGUCAAGUGUUAGCCCCUCUUGCACCCUUUAGUUGGUUAGAAGAAAACAAGAAAAAGAGUUCGCUUCGUUAGAAAGUUGAGUGAGAAUGUCGUUCAAAGUGAAUUGUUGUGUCAUGAUCAACCACUACCCUGAAAGCAAUUUCGACCGACCGUGGUGCUAACCGUAAUGUCGAUUUCUCCUCAAGGUUAACACAACUCCCUAAUUCUGACGUGCAAUCCUCGAAAAUAGGAAUUGAAACAAUAGCCGAAAGUAGCUCAAAACUUGAGUGGAGAGAAAAUUGGAAGUGAAUGAAUAACUAGUGGUUGAGAGUUGCAUUUUUAGGAGAGUGCUACAAUAAUUUUGGGUUAUUCCAAUGUAGGAAAAUGCAUCGGGAUAGAUGAUGCAUAGGAAAAGGGUUAUGUCGAUGCCCUUACCACUGCAUCGGCCAUAGGAAAAAUAAUGAUACUGCAACUUGACGACAUUGUUGAUAGUCGAUAUUAAAAAAUAUUAUUCUAACUUCUUAAUGAUGCCAUGCAAGCCCGUAUCAACGUUUCUCCCCUAAUGGUGUCGACAAAGCCGUAAUAUAUUAUUAAAAUUGGCAAUGUCAGUGACGACGCAAUUAAGCACGUCGGCAAAGGUUCGAUCUUUCGUUAGAAUGACUAAAAGAUGUUUCGAUUGAUUUGAUUGGGAAAUGUUGACGCCAUAAGUGGCUGCAUUAAAAUUUGAUGGCUUCUAACGAUGCCAUAAGUGGUUGCGUCGUUAGAAGCCUAUUCUCACGACACUUUCGUUAUGCAUCGCGAGACUCCUGGUUCAUUUAAUUGUGUUCAUUUGAACACAAAAAAGCAGAAAGCAAAAAAGGAAGAGGAAGGGAAGACGAAAGACGAAAGAGAGAGAGAGGGAGAUCCUUGCCACUAUCGCCAUCUGUCGCCGUUUGAUAACGUGCAGUAAUGACCAUUAUUAUAACUCUUUUUAUUAUGAUAAUGAGGUUAAAAUGCUUAAGAAGAUGAUUAGAACGCGUGACUUGUGUUGUAAAUACAUAAGUAUUUAGGAAUACAUCUUGCAUAAAUGUCAUUCAUGUUUUAUGCAGUUAUCAUGUUUAAACGCAUGAUAAGCGAGAAAAGAAGGAAGGAGAAAAUCAUAUAGGACAUCUCGAGUAAAGGCUACGCGAUGGGAACUAGCUUGGCAAUUAACAACCGCAGACAAAUAACCAAGACAUCGAAGGAGGAAAGCUCACUAGAAGACAAGAAUGAUAGUUGGGAUGAUGUGACCUCACAGGGUUAGAUGACAACACUGACACACUUAGAGGAAUAGAAGUUUUCCAUCAAAAAAUAGCCUAUACAAGCAUUUCGUCUCCACUAGGAAGGGAAAGGCCCAAAUAGGUCAAAGAAGAUAUGGUUAGACAUUGAGAGAGCCUGAAGGAGCUACUUAGAGAGUGAGUAUCUGUGAUGGAGAAGAAGACUAUCUAUGUUUAUCCCUUAACUUGUAAUAAUGAUCCAUUUUCUCCACCUUCCAUUUUGUUGUAUCAUUUAUAUUUUACACUUCAUAUU